rnacentral:rRNA from 1 species
GACGAACGCUGGCGGCGUGCUUAACACAUGCAAGUCGAACGGAAAGGCCUGCUUUCCCUUGUGGAUUGCGGGUACUCGAGUGGCGAACGGGUGAGUAACACGUGAGUGAUCUGCCCCCAACUUGGGUAUAAGCCUGGGAAACUGGGUCUAAUUCCCGAUAGGACUGCAGGGUGGUGCCUGUGGUGGAAAACGAUUUUCUAGUGGUUGGGGAUGAGCUCGCGGCCUAUCAGCUUGUUGGUGGGGUAAUGGCCUACCAAGGCGGCGACGGGUAGCCGGCCUGAGAGAGUGGACGGCCCCAUUGGGAAUGAGAUACGGCCCAGACUCCUACGGGAGGCAGCAGUGGGGAAUAUUGCACGAGGGGCGGAAGCCUGAUGCAGCGACGCCGCGUGGGGGAUGACGGCCUUCGGGUUGUAAACUCCUUUCGACCGCGAGGAAGCCACCUGGUUGGAAGGGUGGUGACGGUAGUGGUAGAAGAAGCACCGGCUAACUACGUG